AUUGAACGCUGGCGGCAGGCCUAACACAUGCAAGUCGAACGGUAACAGGAAGAAGCUUGCUUCUUUGCUGACGAGUGGCGGACGGGUGAGUAAUGUCUGGGAAACUGCCUGAUGGAGGGGGAUAACUACUGGAAACGGUAGCUAAUACCGCAUAACGUCGCAAGACCAAAGAGGGGAACCUUCGGGCCUCUUGCCAUCGGAUGUGCCCAGAUGGGAUUAGCUAGUAGGUGGGGUAACGGCUCACCUAGGCGACGAUCCCUAGCUGGUCUGAGAGGAUGACCAGCCACACCGGAACUGAGACACGGUCCAGACGCCUACGGGAGGCAGCAGUGGGGAAUAUUGUACAAUGGGCGCAAGCCUGAUGCAGCCAUGCCGCGUGUAUGAAGAAGGCCUUCGGGUGGUAAAGUACUCUCAGCGGGGAGGAAGGGAGUAAAGUUAAUACCUUAGCUCAUUGACGUUGCCCGCAGAAGAAGCACCGGCUAACUCCGUG
rnacentral:rRNA from 1 species